rnacentral:rRNA from 1 species
CCUACGUGCGGCAGCAGUGAGGAAUAUUGGUCAAUGGGCGCGAGCCUGAACCAGCCAAGUAGCGUGAAGGAUGACUGCCCUAUGGGUUGUAAACUUCUUUUAUAAAGGAAUAAAGUGAGGCACGUGUGCCUUUUUGUAUGUACUUUAUGAAUAAGGAUCGGCUAAUUCCGUGCCAGCAGCCGCGGUAAUACGGAGGAUCCGAGCGUUAUCCGGAUUUAUUGGGUUUAAAGGGAGCGUAGAUGGGUUGUUCAGUCAGUUGUGAAAGUUUGCGGCUCAACCGUAAAAUUGCAAUUGAUACUGGCAGUCUUGAGUACAGUUGAGGUAGGCGGAAUUCGUGGUGUAGCGGUGAAAUGCUUAGAUAUCACGAAGAACUCCGAUUGCGAAGGCAGCUUACUAAACUGCCACUGACAUUGAUGCUCGAAAGUGUGGGUAUCAAACAGGAUUAGAUACCCGGGUAGUC